UGCAGUGAAGUACUGGUGUUGGUACGUAGAAUUUUGAUUUCUAAGGGGCGGGGGUAGCCGUUGCUGUAA
rnacentral:tRNA from 1 species